rnacentral:sRNA from 1 species
AGCCAGGCCAGCGGCCGCCGAGGGUGCCCGCCCAGGCUACCCGCCCUCCCGGCCGCGGCGCGGACGGACCGACGGACGGCGCUGCGAGCAGGAGGCGUCCGGCCAUGUUCAGCCGGAGCUCCCGGAAAAGACUCUCCAGCCGCUCGGUGAGUGUCCCCCGCUCGAGCGGGGCCGAUCGCCGGGCACCUCCAGCCGGCCGCGAGCGCCCGCGCGCAGCCCCACUGCGCCCCGCGGCUGCGCACCUGUGGCCCCAGUUGACCGGACUGGGGCGGAUAGAGCGAGGCCAGCCAUGUAACGCCUGUGGUGACCAGUGCCCUGGGUUCGCCUUGCAUAAAUGGAGGAAGAUCUGCCUGCACUGCAAGUGUCCCCAGGAGGAGCACAUGGUGACAGUGAUGCCGCUGGAGAUGGAGAAGACCAUCAGCAAACUCAUGUUUGACUUUCAGAGGAACUCGACCUCAGACGAUGACUCAGGCUGUGCUUUGGAAGAGUAUGCCUGGGUCCCACCGGGUCUGAAGCCUGAACAGAGACUGAAAUGUUC